AGUGAACGCUGGCGGCGUGCUUAACACAUGCAAGUCGAACGAGAACGGAAUAUAGCUUGCUAUAUUUGUCAGCCAAGUGGCGCACGGGUGAGUAAUGUAUAGAUAACCUGCCCUUAAGAAAGGAAUAACAGUUGGAAACGACUGCUAAUGCCCUAUAUGCCUUUAAUACAUAAGUAUGCAAGGGAAACGCUUUAGUGCUUAAGGAUGGGUCUGUAUGGUAUCAGCUUGUUGGUGAGGUAAUGGCUCACCAAGGCUAUGACGCCUAACUGGUUUGAGAGGAUGAUCAGUCACACUGGAACUGAGACACGGUCCAGACUCCUACGGGAGGCAGCAGUGGGGAAUAUUGCACAAUGGGCGAAAGUCUGAUGCAGCAACGCCGCGUGGAGGAUGACACAUUUCGGUGCGUAAACUCCUUUUAUAUAGGAAGAUAAUGACGGUACUAUAUGAAUAAGCACCGGCUAACUCCGUGCCAGCCGCCGCCGUAAGAC
rnacentral:rRNA from 1 species